GAUCACCUCAUCCGGUCACGGUGUGUUAACUAUCACACUGGCCACAUAUCAAGUCCAGUUUUCUGGAGCACUGCCAACAUUUCUUGACCCAAAUUCUUGACCUUCGAGGAUUUUAAUUUUCGCUUUGAUAAAAGCAAAAUUCCGAUUUUAAUCAGAUCAAGAAAUCUUCAAAAUGAAUCAGAUUCUUUUUCUCGUUUUAUGCUCCAGUUUGCUGGUGUUUAUCGGUGUCCAAAGCUAUGGUGGUUACCAGGGAUACGGACAGAGCUAUCCCCCGUAUGACUAUUACAGUGGAGGAUACGGUUCGGGUUACGGGUAUGGCCUUGGUUACGGAUAUGGAUACAGUCAAAAUAAUAUCAAUCCUUUGGCAUACGGCCUUGUAUUCCUGCUGGCCCUGUGGGCCCUGAACGCUUCCGGGUUGAGAUCAGGUUGAUAAGACAUAGCAUUUCUUUAUGCAGGAGCUGAAGAGAAAAUCUGUCGAAGAAUGGUGGAUUGUACUGUGUCCGUUUUAAUUAUUAAUAAAUCAAUGUCCAUA